GAGUUUGAUCAUGGCUCAGAUUGAACGCUGGCGGCAUGCCUUACACAUGCAAGUCGAACGGCAGCACGGGAGCUUGCUCCUGGUGGCGAGUGGCGAACGGGUGAGUAAUGCAUCGGAACGUAUCCUGGAGUGGGGGAUAACGUAGCGAAAGUUACGCUAAUACCGCAUAUUCUGUGAGCAGGAAAGCGGGGGACCUUCGGGCCUCGCGCUCUUGGAGCGGCCGAUGUCGGAUUAGCUAGUUGGUGAGGCAAAGGCUCACCAAGGCGACGAUCCGUAGCAGGUCUGAGAGGAUGAUCUGCCACACUGGAACUGAGACACGGUCCAGACUCCUACGGGAGGCAGCAGUGGGGAAUUUUGGACAAUGGGGGCAACCCUGAUCCAGCCAUGCCGCGUGAGUGAAGAAGGCC
rnacentral:rRNA from 2 species